rnacentral:lncRNA from 1 species
AGAACUAUCACCCCUCAUAUGUCUAUAACUUUCAUAUCCAACCGAGUCGACUUAAUUGAACAUAUGCAUACAAACAUUUGGGUUUAGCUUGUAUACGAGGAGAGAGCAAGCCAAAGUCCUUUCAAGUACCAGACAGCUUGGGUUCUACCAGGAAAAUGGUCGGUCCUAAAAAACACGUUCUUCUUUUUAUCUGUCAAAUGUGAGGUACGGUCCCAGUAGGGGACCAAGGUUCUCAUAAUUCCACUGGCAGAAGCACCCGGC